GGCACAACACAAACCCAACUUAAAACCAACUUCUUUCCUACGUGGCAUUUAUUUAUUUUUUAUUAUAUUUUUUUAAAACCAAAUCAAAGAUCAGUAAAAAUCAAAUUUCUCUCUCAGUCCCUCGCUCUCCCUCCCGCACUCACCAUCUCUCCUCCGGCGAGUUCUUCAGCCACCAGAAAUCCUCCCUCACUCCAUCGCUCUCCCUCCCGCGCUCACCCUCUCUCUCCUCCGACGAGUUCUUCGGCACCGGCGAAGCUGUCCGUCCGUCGCAAGUUUCCAUCCACUGUCUCUCUCACUCCGGCGAAGCCGAAGGCUCUCUCUCUCCUCCACCGGUGGCGACUGGAACACAACCCGAUAUCAUUCAUGUCCAUGAAUGGCAGGCUGGAGCUUUACCACUGCUUUACUGGGUUAUGUACCAUUAUCUCUCACUUAAGAAGCCAAGAAUAGUAUUGACAAUCCACAAUAUGGAGCAUUAUGGGGAGUGUAGGCUGCAAACUAUCUGAACAUCAAGAGCUUGCUGGAUUUGACUUGCCAGACAGUGGCUGACAUGAUCAAAGGCAAAAAUCCUGAGGAAAUCC